GAUGAAGAACGUAGCGAAAUGCGAUAAGUAGUGUGAAUUGCAGAAUUCCGUGAAUCAUCGAAUCUUUGAACGCACAUUGCGCCUUCUGGUAUUCCGGAAGGCAUGCCUGUUCGAGAGUCAUUAACAACCGUUUCGAUCCCUUUCUUUCAGAAAUUACAAAGAGGAAAAGGGUUUGGUUAUGGUGGAGGAGGGAAAGGGAGCGUUUAGCCUGUAAAAAAAGAGGCUGUGUUCCGCCUCCCCCCCAAAAUUGUACAGGCGGUCGUGUGCGCCCACGCGUCGAGGUGUUGUAAAAGCUGCCACGGCACUUUUCACCUGUGCAGUGCGAGAUUGGCCAGCCGGUUUAAAAACCCCUCCAAACAAUCAAAGGUUGACCUCGGAUCAGGUAGGGAUACCCGCUGAACUUAAGCAUAUCAAUAAGCGGAGGA
rnacentral:misc_RNA from 1 species